CUGAGCGGCGGACGGGUGAGUAACGCGUGGGUAACCUGCCUCAUACAGGGGGAUAACAGUUGGAAACGGCUGCUAAUACCGCAUAAGCGCACAGUACCGCAUGGUACGUGUGAAAAACUCCGGUGGUAUGAGAUGGACCCGCGUCUGAUUAGGUAGUUGGUGGGGUAACGGCCUACCAAGCCGACGAUCAGUAGCCGACCUGAGAGGGUGACCGGCCACAUUGGGACUGAGACACGGCCCAA
rnacentral:rRNA from 1 species